CUACGGGUCGCACCAGUAGGGAAUAUUGCGCAAUGAGCGAAAGCUUGACGCAGCGACGCCGCGUGGAGGAUGAAGGUUUUUGGAUUGUAAACUCCUGUUGAGUGGGAAGAAAGAAUAGAAUCUAAUAAAUUCUGUAGAUGACGGUACCACUAAAGAAAGCACCGGCAAACUUCGUGCCAGCAGCCGCGGUAAUACGAGGGGUGCAAACGUUAUUCGGAGUUACUGGGCGUAAAGAGUAUGUAGGCGGUUUAUUAAGUCAGUUGUUAAAUACCUUGGCUCAACUGAGGAAAGGCGAUUGAUACUGGUGAACUAGAGGGCAAGAGAGAGAAGUGGAAUUCUCGGAGUAGCGGUAAAAUGCGUAGAUCUCGAGAGGAACACCGGUUGCGAAGGCGACUUCUUGGCUUGACCCUGACGCUGAGAUACGAAAGCGUGGGGAGCAAACAGGAUUAGAUACCCGCGUAAGUC
rnacentral:rRNA from 1 species